rnacentral:lncRNA from 1 species
GCCACCUGAGACAAAUAGGAAGAAAAUACCGCGUAAUAUCUAAUAAAAUGAAGUGAACUGAAAUAAAUAAUAAUAAAAUUUAAUUGAAUUAAGUCCUAAAAUAUGAUAUAAUUUCGUGUUAUCAUGUAACACAAUAAACAAUCAACCAUUCCUAACACCACUAACAUGUCCUAACAGGCAACCAUGUCCAUUUUAACACAUAACAUGACAAUUCAAUACUAAGUCCAUCAACCUCAUUUUUAACAGGCAUAUAACAAUUCACCAAGAUUUUAUACUUCAAACAAUUCAAGGUUAAUUCCAAAACAGUAGCAAUCAAUGUUCAAGCAACUUUGGUAGUCCAAUAAAGAAUAACCCAUUCACAAUUUUGUUCACUAACCUAAUACGCUAGCAGUAGGAUUAAAGUCUUACAGAUAGUUCAAUAGCUCAGGGGUCCACAUACACAUAGCAGCUAGAAUUAAGGAAAUUCAUUACUAACAGCCCUACAAUCCUAUUACUAACCUAACUCACAUUUUAAAUUCAAACUCAACUUGCGAAGUAAAGAAAACUAACCAUAAAAACCUGUUGCAGUUUGGACCAAUUGCACCAUUCACAAUUCAGUUUAGGUUCAUCUUGAUAGCCCUGCUAGAUGGCUUGCAAACCUCACUUCACCACUGCAAAUUGGAUAGCCAACUGGAUAUUAAUUAGCUCAUCAAAUUCAAAGCAUCAUGCAGUCAUAACAAUCCAAUUAGCAUACCAAUUAACCAUAGGUUCAACACUAAAACCAAUUGACAUCAUACAGAACUUGUAGUUUGAGUCAGCAUACAUUUCAUCAUAGUUAUAGUGAAACAAUUAAAUUCACUAGUCUACAACUUGCUGACCAUACUAACUAAACCUUAAUAGGAUAUCUAACACUUGUAACUGUUUUCAUUCAAAACUAACCUUUGCUAAAUCAACAAUCCAUUGAAAAUUCAAUUCAUCUGUGAUAAUUAACACAAAAUAACUUCUCAUGGGACAACAAUCCUUAGAUAACUAGUUAGCUCAUUCCAACUAGUAAUAAAUUCACCCAUACUAAUGAUAAUAAUUUCAAAUUGUGAUUCAUAGCUGCAACUUAAAGACACCAGCUAGAACUAACUAUUCCAACUAUGAAAAUCCAAUAUAACCAUUUGAACUAACUCAUGUUGAAUGCCAUUUCACACAAAUAGAAUUUCAACACCUUCUAACUAACAGAACUAACAUCUCAAUCCAACCUAAUAUAACAUUCAAUAAUAUAAUAACUAACUCCAUCCAAUUUUCCAACUGACUGAAUUAACUACGUUAACUAUUUGUUAACUUUUUCAAAUCCAUAACUGAAUCUAACUAACGUAACAGUCCUCCCAAUCAACUAACUUCACUUCAAUCUAAACCAACUAACUUUAACAUAGCCUUAACAAAUUGUUAACUCUAUUAAUCCUUUUAACUAACCUACAACCAGUUACUCAAUUUAUGUCUAUAAGUAAUCAUCAUCCCAAUCAUUGAAGAGGACCCAAUCAUUGACACACAAAUCAGAUAAGUUCUCAAAACUCUCUUUCACUCUCCCUCAAUUGUCUCUCAAUCUCUGAAAUUUCCCCUUUCACUUUCACCCUCACCUAAAGCUCGAUAGAACAACCAUUAAUGGUUCACCUUGAAGCUUCAAACGUGCGUGAGCUAAGCCUCUCAAUCUCUCUGCUCUAUCACAUUUUCUCUCAUGGAAGCAAAUCUCAGCAAUCUCACGCAUCAUCAACAUUGCAUAAACGUAGCAACCACAUAAGGAGUAGAAGAAGAUUCUAUUAAGGAGCUCAGAGUCAUAAUUCUUACCUUAUUUUGAAGCGCCUCUAGAUUUCUUGUCAUCUUCAUCUUCAAAUUUCUCAAUCUUGACCGGAGCAAUUCACCACUCCAAAGUUGGUGCACCUCUUUCAAACUCACUUGCUUUAUCAUAUUUCUUGUUACCAGAUGAUAGAAUUGAUGUAGAGGAACAUUAGCCCCAAGUUCUAAGGUUGAAACCAAUUGUAAUUCAUGUUUAAUUGGGGACCUAGAAUUUAGGGUUCAUAUGAGUUGAUUCUCUGAUUGGAAGUGUUAAGAAGGAAUUAAUAGAGGUUAACGUGAGAACGAAAGAAAGGGAACAAGGAUGAUUCCAUUGAUGCGAGGUUGAGGUCUAUUGAUAUGAGUUGAUUCUCUGAUUGGAAGUGUUAAGAAGGAAUUAAUAGAGGUUAACGUGAGAACGAAAGAAAGGGAACAAGGAUGAUUCCAUUGAUGCGAGGUUGAGGUCUAUUGAAGCUCAGCCGCCACUAGAGGCGAUUUCCAAUGCGGUGGAGGGAAGACUGGAAAUCAUUUUUUAGUUGGAAUAAGGGGAUGUGGAAGUGAGUAUGAGUUAGCCUUGACACUCUGAUUGUUAUCCUUUUGUUGAGCUCGGUUGGGCCUUAAGCCCAAAUUCCUACUAUUUGCACCACCAUUUUUCUUGAACACCCCUUUGCAUAUUGGAAGUAAAAUGACUUUGGGUUUUUAGCAGGCCUAACACCAGUCUGCUUACCCCACACCUCCAUUCCAGCGUCUGUACCCCUGCAUUUGUUUUGUAUUUUUCUAUCUUUAUUAUUUCUCGUGAUCUUAGUUGUUUCUCAAUAGUUUUUUUUUCUUUUAAUUCAUUUUAUUUUUUAUGUAAAAAAGAUUUUGACAUGUUAGCAUACAUUUUAAUCAAUAAUAAUAAUGCACAAUUUAAUUGGAGUUAAUCACUUAGUUUUUGGUUAAUUCUCAAUUUAAAAUGUUAAGAAAUAAUGCCCAUGCUCGUGAUGCUUUAGAUUAGUUUUAAUUCUAGAAAUUGAUAUGCAUGUUUAACUUUGAUUCCAUUAGGUUAGAAUUAGUACUUAGCUUUAGAUUUCAUCUUGAAUUAGGUGUUAGAAUUAAUUGAUAUGUUUAAAAAUUAGGCUCUUUGUGAUUCUGAAUCCUUGUGCAUGCUUUGCAACUAGACCUCACCCCUAACUGAUUAAGUUGACCGAAGUCUUAUUUGAUAAACUAAAUCCUUUGACAUGUGCAUGUUCCCUCAAUCUAGUCAAGUUAUCAUAAGUCUCUUAAUCACUUGAUAAGACUAGUCCUCGGCACUGGAGCUGCAUUAGAUCUUUCAAGACUAACAACUCAAGACUUCACAUUCAAGUCAAUACAAGUCAGACAGAACAUUGCAGACAGACUGGACACCGGACUACUGUUUAAGCACAACAAAGGUUCCCCUUCAACACUUGUUAGUGAUGAUGAGGAUUGCACACCACGAGCCUUAAGUAGUUGAGAAGUAAGGAGAGGGAGAACUAAUAUCCUCAUUAUGAAUAUCUUUGGGUACGAAAUGAAUGACCCAGUUGCUCAGAGUAUUCACCUCUACACAUAGACUUUAGUACCAUUUGAAUCAAAUAAUUGUCAAGUCUUCUUCUCCACAAGCAAUACUUUAUCCCCAGGAGCAACAAAAAGAAUCUUCUUCAACACUUGUCAAUUAUGGUGAGGAUUACACGCCAUGAGCCUUAAGUAGUAGAGAAGGGAUGAGAGGGUGAAUUCCUAUCAUCAUUAUGAAUAUCUUUGGAUACGGGACGAAUGACCUAAUUGUUCAAAGUAUUUGCCUCUACUCAUAGACUUUAGUGCAAUUCAAAUCAACUAAUUGACAAGUCUUGUACAACAUUACAAUACAGCUUCAUCAAUAAUACAUGUAUUCUUUGGGCCAAACACAUCCUCUCUGGCAUCCAUACCUUCUUAGGGUUAACUACCUCAUGGUAAAGACCCCCGACUUUGGACCACAAUCUAUGGGCCACACCAUCCAUUGGUUACCACCACACAUUUUUCUAAAGCCACACCAUCUAUUACUUGCCGUUAUUCUUUUUUCUCUUUUUCUAAGGCCACAGUUACCUCCAUACCUUUUUCUAAGGCCACACCAUCUAUUGGUUACUACCCUUCUUUUUUCUCCUUUUCUAAGACCACACCUGAAGCUAGCGGAAAUAUACCCGAACGUAUCGCACGCUCGAAGAUACAACAGAGUUGUCAUCGAACUUUAUUUAUCCCCAAAGGGAAGGGAAAACAUCGAUAAAACCCGGGGAAAAGAGAUAUGCUGGGUAAGGAAGUCGGUUAUGCAAGGGGAAGGUAUUAGCACCCCAUACAUCCAUGGUACUCCAUGGGAACCGUUUUGAUUGUUCUCGCUCGAAUAGGUGUUAUAUCUAAGAUUACUCACAAAAGAAUGGAAAGAAAAAGAAAUAGAUAAAGUGCUCGAUGAAGAUUAGGGCCCUCAUGCUUACGUAUCCUCAUAGUGCAAUGAGGAAUUCAGAGCUUCGUAGUUCAAGGAACUAGAGGAAGGAGGUGGAAAGAAGUGUGAUAGAAGGUAUGAUUUGAGCCAAAGAAUAAUGUUGUUUGAACUCCAACAAGGGUGAAAAUGUGAAUCCAAGAGUAAAAUUGUUGUGAACCAACAAGUGAGGGGCGUAUAGCACUUGUAUCACUGUAUUGGAAUAACCAAAAAGAAAGGGUUGCCUAAGUACGACUGCAAAGUAAGUAAGGAGAUGUUCGUCUAAGCAACAGGGUCUGACAAGCCAAACAAAUAUGCUCUUGGUUCACAAAAUGGGGUACAAGAUGGAGCACAAAGGUAUAGUUAUUUGGCUCAGAGAAUAGGUAUAUCACAUGGAGUGAGUGAAGAUAGAGUAUGAAAGUAUCAUGGAGAUGAAUGGAAGGAAUGCCCUAAGGCAGGAGUGAUAAAUAAGUAUGCUCGCGGAGGGUUCAAACCCUCGUGCCUACGUAUUCUCAUUAUGCAAUGAGAAAAUCAGAGCAAUCGUAGUUCAGCCUAUUACGACUGAAAACAAAGGGUACGAGAUUGAUUGGAUUGCCCAGAAGCGGAUUGCUUAACAAGCAGGAAUGUGGUACUAACUGAUGACGGUGAUCAACCACAAGGACACGUGAGAUAUGAUUGGCCUAUACACGAGAAGGUUUAUAAGGCAAGAGAUUCGUCUAAGCACGAGAGGUCUUAUAAGACGAACAAUGAUUAUGAAAUGAUUGGCCUACACACGAGAGGAUUUACAAGGCAAGAGAGCUUCGUAUAAGCACGAGAGGUCUUAUAAGACGAACAAUGAUUAUGAAAUGAUUGGCCUACACACGAGAGGAUUUACAAGGCAAGAGAGCUUUGUCUAAGCACGAGAGGUCUUAUAAGACGAACAAUGAUUAUGAAAUGAUUGGCCUACACACGAGAGGAUUGAUAAGGCUUACAAUGAAUAGGGGUUUGCCAAAGCACAAGAGGACUGGUGAGGAAAACAAGGAUUAAGUUGAUUGAUUAUGAUUCAAAGACUUGAUUUCAAGGUAAUUGAUCCAAAGGAUAUCUGAAUGUCAAAGGGAAUAUGAUUAACGAUCCACUGAGGGGAGAAAUGAUUGACGUACAAUGAUGCUUCAAUAAUGGAGUGUUGAAUGAUUGAUCGAUGAAAUAGGAUAGAUUGAUAAAUGAGAUAGGGAUAGAUAAGGUAGAUUGAUAAAUAAGGUAGCUCGCGAAGAAUCUGAGUUCUCCUGCCUACGUAACCUUAUAGUGCAAUAAGGAAAUCAGAGCUUUCGUAGUUCAGCCCACUAGGACUGAAAAGAAGUUGAUUGGAGGCAAGAGGAAAUGGAUGAUUGAGAUUGAAAUGAUUUGAAUGGAAUGAUUGAGAAUUGAAUAGAAUGAAGAAUGGAUAGACUUGAUAGUUACUGGAUGAUGAGAAUCACACUAACUUUCAAGUGGUGAAAUGAUUUGAAUGGAAUGAUUGAGAAUUGAAUAGAAUGAAGAAUGGAUAGACUUGAUAGUUACUGGAUGAUGAGAAUCACACUAACUUUCAAGUGGAGAGAGAAGAGUCUUUGUAGUUGUUUCUUCCAUGGAGGAAGACCUUAUCAAUGGUUCGAUUCAAAUUGCACUAAAGUUUAUGAAUAAAGGUGAAUACGAUAAGCGAUGGGUCAUACGUCCCAUACCCAAAGAUACUCAGAAUGGGGGUCGGAAUACUCUAGUCCCACUCCUUCUCCAUUACUUAAGGCUCGUAUCGUACAACUUGAUUCAUGAUUGAUAAGUUGUUGAUGUCGUCCUUGCUUUUGUUGUAUUUUUCUUUGUGAAGAUAGACUUGUUAAUCGUAUGGUUAGAAUUGUGCUAAAGUCUAUGAAUAGAGGUGAAUAUGAUGAGUGCUGGGUCAUACGUCCCAUACCCAAAGAUACUCAAAAUGGGGGUAGGAAUACUCCAGUCCCACUCCUUCUCUAUUGCCUAAGGCUCGUGUCACACUCUUCUAACUUUGAGUUAACAAAUGUUGGUUUUGACAUUUGUAGUGCUUGAAUAGUAGUCAUGCCUUGUACUGAUUUGAAUAACUUGAACUCUCGAUCUUGAUCUUUGAAUCUUGAUUGAACUUGGAGCUCCAGUAUCUAGCAUCUUGAUCACAAGGACUUACUUUAUCAAGUGAUCAUAGGUCUUCUGAUCACUUGACUAAGCUUGGGGAAUUAAGCACAGUCAAAGGAUUUAGUCAAUCAAAGCGUACUUUGAUCAACUUAGUCGGUGGGGAAAAAAUUAGUUGAAAGUGAACGUACAACUACCUAAAGGGUUAUUGUUUAUUUGAAUUAUUUUCACAAUGCCUAAACUAUGGGAACAUGCAAAAAUUGAAUUAUUUUUACACUAAGGGCAAAACAACCAUUUGACAAAUUUAUAGAAUAUUGAAUUAAAAUUCUAAUUAUGAAAUCCUAAUGAAAAAUCAAUGGUAAAUUCUAAACUAUUUUAUUUUCUAAAUUCUAUUAAAUUCUAAAGAUUAAUCUAAUCUAAUAUUCCUAAAAGGUCUAUUACACUAAUCUAAACAUUUUCUAAACAUUGUUCCUAAUUAAAAUUCCAUAGCUAAGUAAAUCUAAAAGUCUAACUACUCAAUAUUUCUAAUUAUAUUUCUAAUUAACAAUCUAUAGCUAAUUAACUCUAACAUUCUAAGAUCAAGCUAAUUAAUCCACUUACACUAACUAAUUAAACUAAUUAACCUAAAUUAUCUUGAGUAAUCCAGUUUAAGUAGAUGCUUGGGCCAAAGGCCCGCGCUUCAAAACAACGGCCUAUGUUACCAACCGGGUCUCUUUAACCCACGGAAGAUUCUCCUUCCUGAUGUAACGCCGAACCUACACGCAGACGGCUGUCGACGACGCAAGGUUCGCACUCCAGCGGCUCGUGAUCAAGCGGAGUCCAGGACUUCGUUCACGUUCGAAACCAAUAGAAGAUAAAACGUUCAUAGAAAACGAAAGACUUCUCACCGUCAUCACCGGAAAGAGACUCCCCCUACUCACACAACAACGAUGCCCAACGCUUCAUCUCGUCACUCAAGACCAACGGCGAUCGACAGUGGAUACGGUAAAUGCGAGGGAGACGCGGAGGACUCUCCUCCAGAUGUGAAAACGACUCUGACGUCUCCAUCUAUGUUCGUGUGCACCCCUACCUUCUCUGAAUCACGGUGCAUCGAAUGGAGCGACACCGAUUCACGACGUUGAACCUCUGCUUUCACCAGUUUAAACAGAAGAAUAUAAACGCCGAAUUGAAAUCUCACCAGUUUAUCAGGUACCGCGUCUUUCCUUUCUUCUCCCUUCCUGUUUCUGUUACAAGCUUCUUCUUUGUUGAACUCGUGCUUGCAGGUUGUGGUUUGUUGAGGAUGGCAUCGGCGCUUUGCACUUUCAUUGAGGACAGACGAUGAAGGGCGAACCGUUCUUCUGGAGAAGGAUGCUAACCGGUGAGAACCCAAUUCCUGUUUUUGAUUCUUCCUUUUUCAAUCAGCUUCUUCUUCUCGUUCAGCUCUUCUAACUUCAGAACUUCUGCAAUGUCUGUACGGUGCCUUCGUGAUGGUGUGAGAAGAUUGGAAGAUGGAAUCACCGGUUUGGAAGCUUGAAGCUGCAGAAUGCUCUUGAGAUUGAUGAGCUUGGUAGAGAUUGUGCAGAAUUCAUUCAUCAUCUUGAUGCAAGGUGAGGUACUCCUUCCCCUUCAUUCUGUUAUGAGAAUCUCGAAUGAUUGAUUUGUUACCCAGAUUGAUGGAUUUAGAAAAAUGAAAAAAUUUCUGUUCUGAAUUGAGGCAUGUGUUUAUAUAGGAUAGUUCAUAACCGAAUCGGGCAGGUCAGUUAUCUUAGGGCAGGUGCCCAAAAUUUCUGUUAGAAAACUCUCUGUUAAAGAUGAGUUGAUUUUGUUAAGUUGGUUAGAAAUAGAAAUGAAAAUUCUAAUUUUAAGAUGCUAUGCUAUUAAUUUCCACUCUCUCCAUUCUGUUUAUUAGCUGGAGUUAGUUGUUGUUUUAAAUUACAACUGUUAGCAAUGCAUGAUCAAAACCACCUCGAAGUGAAAUUUCAAAUUGAGGAAAUCACUAAGUGAAUGAAUGAAAGCUUGUUGGUUGAACAAUCAAGAUCUAUUACUACACUUUAUUUUCUAUUAUCUCUCGCCGUGUUAAAUAACUGUUAAUUAUUUCGCUAUCAUUUCCAAUGGAGCAGUUAAACUGAACUGAAAUUGAUUGCGAUUAGUUCGUAUGUUAAAACCUGCAAAUUGAUUAACAUGUUGCUCUUUCAGGUUGUGUAUGCUUGUUCGUGCUCAUGAUUAGUUGCAAUGUGCUAAGUCAUGUAUGAUUGAAUAGUUAGGAUAAUGUGAAUAUUUGUAUGUCGUACGUGCGUGUUGUAUUGCAUUGGGUCCUCAGCUGUCAUGGCUUUUUGGAGAUGUUAUGUUAGUUAAUGGCUUAUAUUUUGUUGGUUUUGAGAAGCUUGGAAUUCAAAAAAUAAAAUUGAGAUCGAAAAGAGAAUUGUUUAUUUGUGUUAUAUGGAGUUUCUCCUUAAGUUAUUAUUGUUGAGUGCAUUUGAAAUGAGUUGGAUAUGAUUAGUUUGUUUAAGAACAAUAUUUAUUGAUCUGUUCUACAGGAUUUGUGUAUGUACUUGCCGGUUGUCGUAGUCGGUGGAAUUUGGGAGGACUGCAACGCAUAUCAAAUACAACUCAGGGGUUUGUCAAUGCUGGUGACGCAACCACCUGUUGGUUCUGUUAAGUGUUUGGUUUUGUGUUAGCAUUUGUUUGUUGGAAGUCCAAACUUGUUGAUGCUAUUACUUGAAAUUAGAACUUUUAUUCAUUAACUUAAUUACUACUGAAAACAUUUUGGAAUACUAUUACAUCCUCUUACUGUUGUCCUCCUUUGUUGCUUGCAGAUGUCUCUACUAUAUUCGUGAGUGUGGGCGGUGUUCAAUGUGGCUCAUGGUACCAAGCUGGGAUGUUAACUUGGUGAAUACUCUUAUGCCGCCAGUUUGGAUUUUGAAGGGCGAAACAACCGACGUGCCUAGCUUGUUAACACCGCAUUGUGACCGAUGAGUGUAAGUUCGAAGCUCCUAUCUUGUUUGUUUGAUGUAAUAUGGAUUCUUGUAGCCAUGUUAGGCUAAGACUGCCUAUUAUUAAUGAAGUUCAAUUGUUUAUUCUCGAAUGAAUUAGGGAUUUAAGUUAUAAUUAAUUCAAUCAAUCAAUGGUGCGGUUAAAAGGGAUACGUUAUCAAAAGUGGUGCUAUGUACUCCUGUUUCUAUCAGAUCCUUUGAACUUGUUAAUUGCAAAGUCAAAAGUGGUGAAUACUCUAUAUGAUUUGAAAUUGUGAACUUGUCGUCAAAUUAAUUGCUUUAGUAAUUGCUAUGUUAGUAAGUGGAUUAGAUUAAAUAACGUCAUGAAGUUAAAGUUAUGACAUUUACAAUGUUUAAGUUUUUACGCAUGGUUUUGUGGUGUAUGUGCAGGUGAAUAUCUUGCUACUAGAUAAGAGAUAUGGCAAGGGUCCAUUGUGAAAGAGAAGAACAGGGUGGAGUUUGUUUGGAGUUAAGUCAGUGUGGAGUGGUAUUGAAUUAGGAACGCUUACGUGAUGUUAGAACAUGUUAGGGAUGUUAUUAUACCGUUAGUGAACUUGUUGCUGGGUUAUCAACCAUGUUAGUGUGGCCUAUCGGUUAAAGAAAAAUGGAUAAUUGGAUGAUGAUUUAGUUAUUGAGAAUGUUAGGUGCUUCCAUGGAAUUCGAAUGGAAUUUGUUUUUGGUUGUAUUGAUUAAUUGAUUUUGGAUUAAUGGAUAUGGAUUUUGAGCAUGGUUUAAUGGGUUAUAAAAUGAAUAAUAUCAAUUUCAAUCAAAGCAAUUAAAAUAAAAUUAAUUAAUUAGAUAUUAAAAUCACUUUAAAAUCCAAAUUUCAAUAAUUUAAGAUCGGCAUUGAUUUGGUAUCAAUUUGAUGUUCAUUCGACAAUUAAAAUCAAUUAGAGUCUUGAAUCAAUUAAAUUGAAGUUCCUUAAUUAAUUUGAAAUUAGGUGUGAAUUAGGGUUUAUAUUAACAUGAGUGCAUGAUGCAUAAUGGAUGAAUGCAACACGGGCCACGAAUUGAAUGAAAGUGUGAAGAGAAGAAUGCAAAUUUUGGGGUACGACAACACCAUCAAUUGAUUACUGCCAUAACUUUUUCUAAGGCCACACCACUUAUUGGUUAUCACCAUUAUUUUUCUCAUUUUUAUGGCCACACCACUUAUUGGUUACCACCAUACUCUUUUAUUUUACCGGCCACACCAAUCAUUGGUUACCGUCGUACUCUUUGGUUCAGACAAUCCUACCCUAUGGAUCCAAACAACACAACUCUUGGUUCAAACCAUAUUUUCCCCAUACACAGACAACACUCAUACAAUUCAAACAACACUUUCAAUUCUAGCAUUUCUCUUUCUUUUAAUGCAAUUUAACCAAAUAUUUAUUCUUCUUUUUGGCACUUAAACCUUUUCAAAAUAACUUUUCUUUUCAUAAAUAACUUUUAUAAUUUGUUCCUUAGCAGUCAGACUAAAAUCUUGAAGUAUCCGAACUAAGAUCAAUUCAGCUAACGUCCACACACUUCUAGGAUAUGAUUAUAACUGUUCCAACAAAACAACCAACACACACUUAUUUUCUACUAUGAACUACAGAUCUCUGAUUUCCUUAUUGCACUAUGAAGAUACGUAGGCACAAGGGUCUGAAUCCUUGUCGAGCACCCUAAUUAAACCUUUUUUCCCUUUUAUAUUUUUGCAAGUAACCUUUAGAUAAUAACACUCAUUCUACCAAACAACAAUCAAAAUGGUUCCAGUUAAGUACAAUGGAUGUGAGGGCUGAUAAUACCUUCCCCCUGCGUAACCGACUUCCUUACCCUCUUUUCUCUUCCCCCCGGGUUUUAUAAAAGUUUUCCCUUUCCUUCGGGAAUAAAUAAAGUUCGUUGGCGACUCUGUUGUAUCUUAGAGCAUGCAAUACACUUAGGUAUUUUUCGCGGCACGACAAUACUAAGUUCGAAGAGUUGGUGAAAUUUUAUCCAUACUAUAAUAGUGUGGCAACUGAUGGGUCAAAGUGUAUCAAGUUCGAAAGCGACUUGCAUCCCGAGAUCAAGUAAGGUAUUGGGUAUCAAGAGAUCCGCUAGUUUUCUAUGUUGGUAAAUACGUGCAGAAUAUAUGAUGAGGAUAACAGAUCUUGAUCUACUCACUAUAAGAGUCUUAGUGAGAAGAAAGGGAAGGAUCAGAAUCAUGGGAAACCUUAUGGGGAUUCUUCUGAUAAGGGUAAGAAGAGGCUGAUCAAAAGACUGCAGGUGGGAAAGAGCAAAGUGAGGGAGGGACUCCUGCUUUUGUGAGAUGUUUCAAAUGUGGUGAGUUUGGACAUCGUAUUUCUCAGUGCAAAAGCACAACUAUGAAUUGCUUCAAGUGUGGGAAGCCAGGUCACCGAGCUGCUGAAUGUAAGAUUAACACUUUGACUUUCUAUAAUUGCGGAGAGCAAGGUCAAAUUAGUACUCAGUGCCAGAAACCAAAGAAAGCUCAAUUUGAAGGGAAAGUUUUUGCUUUGUCUUGAGGAAAGACUACUAGAUUUGAUAAAUUUAUUCGAGGUAUGUGUUUUACUAAUGACAUUCCAUUGAUCACUAUUAUUCACAUGGGUGCAAACAAAUUCAUUCAUACCUGCUAAGUGUGUGGAAAAAUUGAAUCUGGAAGUGUCUACUAUGAAUGGUAGCAUGGUCAUUGAUACCCCAAUUAAUGGUUCACUGACUACUUCGUUGGUGUGUGUGAAUUGUCCUUUGACAAUUUGCGGUAGAGAUUUUGGGAUUGACUUAGCCUAUUUGCUUCUAAAUCAACUCGAUGUUAUUCUGGGAAUGGAUUGGUUGGAGUUUAACCAUGUGCAUAUCAUUUUCUUUGAAAAGUCGAUGAAGUUUCUUGAAUUUGAGGAGAGUAUGGAGUCGAGUUUCAUGACCGCGAGACAGGUAGGGAUGUCGUUGAUAGAGGGUGUUCAAGUGUUCGUGGUGUUCACAUCCUUGAGAGGGGGAAGCGAAAGAAUGAUUGUUGUUCUACCUAUUAUGUGUGAGUUUCCUAGAUGAAAUUAGUGAGUUGUCAUCGGAGCAUGAAGUUGAGUUCGCUAAGACUUAAUACUGGUACCAGUCUUGUGUCGAUGGCUCCUUACAAGACGUUUGCUUUAGAACUGAAUGGUGAAGAGAGAUUUUAGGAACUCAAGAGGAAGUUGGCAUCUGUUUUAGUUUUGAUUUAGCCAAGUCCAAGUGAAUCCUUUGUUGUGUAUUGUGAUGUUUCGAAGAUGGGUCUAGGUGAUGUGUUGAUGCAAAAUGGUCAAGUUGUGGCUUAUUCUUAUAGAUAAUUAAAAGUUUAUAAGAAGAAUUAUCCUACGCAUGAUCUAGAGUUUGCAACCUGUCGUACCCCAAAAUUUACCCUCCCCUUUUCAUUCUUCAUCCAACUUAUGACUUGGGAUUCACCUGUACACAUUCAUAUCCAUUCAUAUACAUCAUGCAUCCAUAUUAGCACUUUCUCAUAAGCACCAUAGACUCAAAUCUUGUGGUUAAUUAAAACUAGGGUUUUGCCCGAGUAUCGGAGUUUGGCUCAUCAUGUGGAUUGUAAACCUUAAUCUCAUGCCCUUAUGGGCCUUGGUACAAAAAGGUCACAAUCAUGAUACUUAAGCUCUAAUACCAGACUUAACAACCCUUUGACCUCAUGAGCUUCUAUCUAUGCAUCUGAAACCCUAAUUCAUACCUCAUAGUUGACCAAAGUCAACAUUCCAAUUAUGGUCUUUCUAAACCUAACUUGUCUUAUUAGCAUACCAUUUCCAUGUCGUUUUUUUACCAUGACCAAUAAUGAUAUUUAUAGCAUUGAUACUGUUUUUUUCCCAUUCACAUUAACUAGGUCAUGAAGAACUGAGAUUCUAAAAAAUACUUCACUCGAUUCAAUUUCUCAAUUAACCAGGUCAUGCUGAACCUUAGUAUUAGGAAUUUGGUGUGUACUUGGAUCAACAUUACAACAAUCUUGACGAAAUCAUUCUCCAAUUUUAAUUCUAGAAUUAUUUUUAGUCUUUAAUUUGCACAUUUUGUUUUAUUUACAGCUUUAAUUUUCAAUUUUUGUUAUUGUUGCUAUUUAAUUUUUGGUAUUAAUUAUUGUUCAUUAUUGAUGCUAUUUAAUUUUCAAUUUUAGUUCGUAUUGUUAUUAUUAUUAUUCACUGCAUGGUUCUAUUUAAGCACUCAUAUCAAUUUCAAUUGUUAUUGUACAUACUAGUUUCAUUUGCAUGUGUGCAUGUUUAGCUACUUGCAGGUAAUUAAUAUAUAUAUAUAUAUAUAUAUAUAAUAUAUAUAUAUAUAUAUAUAUAUAUAUUAUAUAUAUAAUAUAUAUAUAUUAUAUAUAAUAUAUAUAAUAUAUAUAUAUAUAUAUAUAAUAUAUAUUAUAUAUAUAUAUUAUAUAUAAUAUAUAUAUAUAUAUAUUGUUUUAGCUUUCUACAAUCCAUUCUCUGCAUCUCUCUCUUUAACAGUUAUAAUUUGGUCCAGUGUUUGUGACUCUUCAACCAACACUUCCUUCACUACUAGUUCAUUCUAAAAAGUAUUAGUGACUUUGUAAAAUGAACUAGUAAAAAUGUAAGUGUUGAUUGAAGAGUUAGAAGUAUUGUACCAAAUUCUUACCGUCAAAGAACGAGAUGAAUACAAUGGGCUGCAAAAAGCUCCUAAAACAUUAAUCAAUGUAAGUUGUUGUUUUCUAACAUAACUUAAUUUUUCAUAUUAUUAUUUUCUAAUUCAAUUCAAAAGGUUAUAUAUUCAAUGAGGGGGUGGAAAAAUACUUAAAUCACAUAUGAUAUAAUAAACUAAUCUUCUAGUACAUGUUGAAUGCACAACAUGAUAGCUACAAUCAAUGUUUUAAAAACUGGACCGGUGAAACUUGCGGUUUAAGGUUUAAUUGGUUAAACCGGUUAAUCCUACGGUCCAACCAUUUAUUAAAUAAACUAAUACUAUGAAAUUAAAUUUCAUAGAUAUGUCACACAUAAUCAUACAUUCACAACUUAAUAAAAUAAAUAUUUUAAAAAUCUAUUACAAAGUUAAUACAACAAUAUUGAUAAUACAUAUAAUAAUAUAACAUAGUUCUACACUUCAUUUCAACCUUCAUUUAAGAAUAAUUUGACCAAAUUAAAAAAUUACAAUAAAAUAAGUUAAACUAAUAAAACCAAUAUUAAAAUAAUAGAGUAUAAUAACUAAAAUAAAGUGCAAAAAGCUCACAAAACAUUAAUCAAUGUAAGUUGUUGUUUUCUAACAUAACUUAGUUUUUCAUAUUAAUAUUUUUUAAUUCAAUUCAAAAGGUUAUAUAUUCAAUGAGGGGUUGGAAAAAUACUUAAAUCACAUAUGACAUAAUAAACUAAUCUUCUAGUACAUGUUGAAUGCACAACAUGAUAGCUACAAACAAUGUUUUAAAAACCGGACCGGAGAUCGAACCGAUGAAACUUGCGGUUUAAGGUUUAAUUGGUUAAACCGGUUAAACCUACGGUCCAACCAUUUAUUAAAUAAACUAAUACUAUGAAACUAAAUUUCAUAGAUAUGUCACACAUAAUCAUACAUUCACAACUUAAUAAAAUAAAUAUUUUAAAAAUCUAUUACAAAGUUAAUACAACAAUAUUGAUAAUACAUAUAAUAAUACAACAUAGUUCUACACUUCAUUUCGACCUUCAUUUAAGAAUAAUUUGACCAAAUUAAAAAAUUAUAAUAAAAUAAGUUAAACUAAUCAAACCAAUAUUAAAAUAACAGAACAUAAUAACAAAAAUAAAGUUUAAAUAAUUAAGAAUACCUAAAUUAAAUAAGAUAGAAUAUUAAAAAUAAUAAUACAUUAUCCUUCAUUAAACAAUAAAAAACUAAUUUGAGUUGAGCUACGACAAACAAGUCUUAAUUGACAACAACAAACAAUAUUGACUUGAACGAUAAUCAAUAGUAUUUUGGAUAUCACUAUGUUUUAAAGAGACGACGUGAUAAUGAUGGAUUGUGGUUGAAUGAAAAACUAUAAUGGAGUGACAAAAUUUAGAAGUUUGUAUGGUUGUAAAAAAAAUAUGAAAUUCUUUCUUGUGAUUGGGGAAUGUAUGUUAAGUUUUGAUAUUGACAUAUUAAAAUUUAAAAAAAUAAAAUUUAAAAAAUGGUUAAUUUGAUGCAUUUUUUUAACUGGAUGGUUUUACAAAACCAGCUCCGAUUCUUUCAUUCGAAUGGUUUUGGACGGUUCAAUCUGAUUUUUUUGGUUUUACUCCGGUUUUGACCCACUAAUGGUUUUGAAAUAUUGACUCAAUCGGAUUCAUCUCCGAUUCCCGGUUCAACCGGUUGAACCGGACAGUUUGGUCAGGUUUUUAAAACAUUGGCUACAAUGUUCAAGUAAUAAAAUUAUUAAUAUCAUAAACAAUAAUAUUAAUAUACCUAUACAUGCACAUCCUACAACUUUUAUCAACAUACAUAAAUAAAAUAUCAAUAUAUUUCAACAAAAAAUAUGUAAAUCAAAUCGUAAACUUAUGAACAGAAAAAAAUCACUUAUGGAAAAACAACACAAACAACAACUUUUACCUAAAAAAUUAUAAACUAACCUUAUCAUAAAUUUAUCAAAUAUAUCUAAACAACAACAUUUAUCAACAUACAUAACAAAAACAUAAACAUACUUCAACAAGUUAUAUGUAAACAAAAUCAUAAACUUAUGAACAAAGCAAAAUCCUUUAUCAACAAACAACACAAACAACAUUAUUUAUCUUCAAAAUCAUAAACUAACCUUAACAUAAACACAACAGAUUUAUCAAAAAUACUUCAACAACAAUAUACCUCAAUAAUAACGUUAAAAGUUUACGAAUACCUCAUAUUACAACAAUAAAAGAAUGGAAUUUUGAAAAGAAACGGUUUACAUACAUACCUUUACUUGAAAAGAUUUGUGGAAAAUGAAAAACAAAGAAAUAAACUUGCUUAUUUCAUGACACUUUCCCUUGAUUCAUACUAGUUUGAGAAGUUAUGUUGGAGUUUUGUGAAGUUAGGAUGGAGUUUUGAGAGAUUGGGACAAGGAGAUAGAAGUUAGGGUUUCACACUUACAAUGCAGUUUAUUCUAAGGUGAAUUACGUUAACUUAUAUAGGUGAUUAUUUCACAACAGAUGCUAAAACCAAUCAUGGUGAUAUAUCCUGAUAUUUACCAUGGUUGUUAAUUGGGACCAUGGUUACAAGUUUUUAAUUUUUAUUUAAAAUUAAAAAUAAAGGUAACACCCCCUUUUAUUAAUGAAAAACACAACGGUUGUUAAUUGUGACCAUGGUUAUAUGUAAUUUAAAAAUAAAUAAAAAAGACGCCUAAUGAACAUAUAUUACCUCGGUUGGACAUGUAACAGUGGUAAGAGAUUGUUACAAAAUGUAUCUUUUAUAAUAGUAGAAACAUGAUCAUAUUGCCUUUCUUCGUAAAUUAACGUAUUUUCAAGGAAAUCAAGAACAUAAUCCUUUGGAUACAACAUUGACUUAAACUCUUUCAAACUUCUUUUAUAAUAGUAGAAACAUGAUCAUAUUGCCUUUCUUCGUAAAUUAACGUAUUUUCAAGGAAAUCAAGAACAUAAUCCUUUGGAUACAACAUUGACUUAAACUCUUUCAAACUUAUUCUAUUAUUUAGUAAUAGUGACUAUUUAUUUUCACGAGAGUGAGUUCUUGUGUUUCUUCUUCGGUGAGAAAUAUAUCUAAUAUAGAAAAAGUUGUUUAUUUAUAUAGGUUAAAUAUGGAAUAUUAAAAUUCAACAUUGGUUAAAUAAUCUUCAAUCUAUACAAAACAACAUGCAUCAAGUUAUAUAAUUUUAAAUUAAUUGAUUAGAAAAGUCAAUGAAUGAUUAUGUAGAUAUAAAACUAAUAUUAAUGAUGUGCAAUUGCAAAGAAAACUACCAGAGGAGUGAAACACUGCAUGUUAUUUUGUUCCACUUUUAGCAACUUAAGAAAUUAGAGUAAUGAUACAUUACAUGCGAAAUGCAAUUUUUACAUAUUUCGUCUUCAAAUAAGGGAUCUUUAGAACAUUAUUAUUGUAUAAAUCUUUUAUACAUAGUUUUAUUAAUUAAAUAGUAAUUCUAUAUUUUAAAAUCAUUUGGAUUUUUGGAUAAUGAGCGUUGCUCAUAAAGAAUACCAUCAACUAAGUAUUGCCAUGUAUUUGUCCAAACAUGAUUGGGUCUAUUUAUUGAUGCAGGCAACAACAUAGUGACAAAUAGCUUCCACAAAAAGAUACCAGAGCCCCAUACAUGUACCUCUUUGAUUGUAUCAACAAACUCGCUAUCAUACACUUUCUUAAUGUCAUCGUAACUUAUAGGUUCUUUUUUCACAGUAAACAUCAUCUUGAGAUAAUAUAACUCACUUGUGCAUUGUGGAACCCAAAUAAGUCGACUGAUGGUGUAUCCUCUUUUCCAUGGUUUCCAAGUUCUAGUUUUCUUUACAUAAAUCAACUUUGAAACAAAUUGACCAUAAGUCAACAACCUAGCAUCUUCAAAGAUUUUGUUUGCCUCAAACCAAGCUUUAAACAUAGAUUUUAUUACACUUUGUUUUAGUAAAACAAUUCUAAUUUGCUCAUAAUCAUUAUAGUAAACAAAAUUCUCUCCUUCCAAGUGAAAAAAUAUUCGUUCAACAACAGGCUUCUUUCAAUAUAUUGAAAUAGAGAAUAUCCUCCAACAUGCUUCACUUGGAGAAAUAUAUCUACAAUCUAGAUAUUGCUUGAUUUUUUCAAUGUUUUCUUUUUCAACCCUUGUAUUUGUCUCUGAUGGUACAAUAACAGUUGAAAUUCUAUCAGAACCUUUGUUUAUAUACUUGAAUAAGUAUUUUAUUAAAAUACUUUAAUUGCAUCAUUCCAUGUUAAUGUGUGUUUCAUACUUCAACAACAAACUUGCGUUAUGAGUAACUACACGACCGUUAUGAAGGAUGAUUCCAUUUUUUUCAAUUGUGUAACCAUUAACUCUUUUUUUAUACACAAGAUCUUCAUCAACUACAACAAAACUUUGAAACUUUUUGGACAAUACUUAGAACGUUUUCCAUCCAUCAUGUAAGGUGAUUUUUUGUUUGCCAAACCACAAGAUCCAUGAAGCAUAUGAUUAUUAACCAAAUUGUACAACUUUGAAUUCUUCAGGACCGAGGUAGUUGUUACAUGGAUGCAAGAAAAUCAAGAUAUGUGCAUGUGAGAAUCCUCUCUUUUGAAACUCGAUAGCAUACAUAUCUAUAUAUUAUAAAAUAUAAUUAGUAUGCGAUAUUUCAUUGUUGAAAUGUGUAAUUCAAAUCAAUUAUGUAGUUGAAUUUAGUUUGUUUUAUUUAAUUAUUUAGAUUAAUUUCUAUGCUUUUAUUUGGAUAAUUGGUGAAUAUAUGUGUCUUGGUGGGUAUUGGAGAGAGUUAAGGGAAUGGUAUAAAUUAAUUGAAUUAAUUUUAAUUAAUUGAAGUUGAGUAGAAUGAUUAAAAAUAAGAUAGUUGUAGAAAAAUAAGAGAAAUAGUAGAAAUUGGUGGAAAAUUGAGUUAUUAUAAUUAAAAAUUAAAAUAAUAGAAAUUAGAGUUAGUAAGAGGAGUAGGGGCAGGAUAGGAAAUGUGAGAGUAAGUUGAGGGUAAUAAGAGAAUAACCAAAGUAAAGGGAAUUAGGUUUUGGAUUAAAUAGAAAAGGUGAGAGUUGUAACUUUUCUUACUAUUUUGGAACAAGAGAAAAGAGGCAAGAAAGACAACCUAGGGCUUGAGGAAGAGGGGGAGAUCACUAUUGUUGUAGUGAUUGCUUUGCUGGAAAUCCAAGGUAAGGGGAGAUUACUCUAAUAUGGGUGUAUAUUGUAUGAUGGGUAGAUAGGGGUUCUCACCCUCCUCUAGGUUUCCUCGCCAUUAUUGUGUUUUUUAAGUUUUUUAUAUGGUUAUUAGUAUUCAAUGAUAAUAAGGAUUCUUUAUGUGUGAUAUGUGUUCAUGAUAUAAUGAUUUCAGAAUUUGGUCUGUGAAUUGUAUGUGAGGUUGGAUUUGAUAUUAUUCUUGUUGAUCUGUUUGAUGAUGAUGAACACAAAUAUAAUUUCCAUUGUGAAUUGAUGUUAAUGUAAAAUUGCAUGAACAUUGGUGUAUUGAUUGCCUACUAUAUACUUACUGAUGUUGAAGUUAUAAUAUAAAACAUUUAGGUAUGCUAGGACAUGUUUGGAUAUGGUUUGGAAGGGAUAAUGAUUGUUGAAAUGUGAUUAAAACUGGAAUUUUUGGAAAUGUUGCAGACGUCAAUCGUUUGACCCCCUAUGUCAAUCCAUUUAUGCUCGUGUAUUUUAGGAAAAUUGAAUGGAAAAAAUGACGUUAAUUGAUUAAUUCUCUAAAUCAAUUGAUUACACUAAGCCAAAACGUGAAAAUAGGAAAAACAUAAUAUUUGGAGAAGUCAGAUCAAUUGAUUGACCUUCCUCUACAAUCGAUUGACACCCUGAAAAUUGUGAAAAUUUGUUGAGCAGAAAGUUAGCUAAAACCUAUUAUUUUCUCCGGUUGUUUUUGCCAUAACUUUAAUUUCGUGAAUCCAUGUGAGGCGCGAUUUGAAGCGUUGGAAAGUUGAUGCGUAUGAAUACCCUAUAGUGAUGUAUUAAGAGGCUAGAUGGGUACUGGAAUGUGUGAAAUUUAAUUGUUUUACUUAUUACAUAAUGGUUAAUGGUAAAGAAUGAAUGAUUAAUCGUUAUAAAUGACUGAAUUAAUGAUGAAGCGAUGAUAAGAUGAAUUAAUAUGAUUAAGUGCUAUGUGGAUGUUUACUUGAUGCAUGAAUAUAUGUUGUGAAGUGCAUGUGUAAUUAUGUGAAGUGUUGUAAAUACUUGUUGAUGAUUGUUGAGAUGUGUAGUUCAGAGUGAGAACUACUAUUGAUGCGUUUAAAUGCAUGAUUGUUUAGAGUUAGAUGUGGGGUUGUAAUCAUUGUUGUGUUGUUAUCGUUGCAUUAUCAUAUGCCAUGCAUCAUAUUUUGUCGUUGUUCCCAAAGAGGCCAAUCAUGUGUUCAGAUGAGUAGACGAGUGACUCGUACGGAGCUCAGAUGAGGGGCUCGGGGUUCAGAUGUUGGAACCCAUUUUGUAUGAAGAACCAUUUUUGAGUUGGUACCACAUGCAUAUAUAGUCAAUGUGUUAUCACAUUGCAUACAAGUUGGCAUCUGUGAAUUGAUUAUUGUUAUGCAAAUACAUUACAUGUUGAUGAUUAUUGUUGUUGUUGUUUAGGCUACCCUUCCUGGUCUUUUGCACUGCUAACAUAUUUGAGUGUAUUCUCACCCCUUUCUUGUUUUGUUAGUGUGUUGUUGUACGAUCUGUACAGAUACCAGAACAAGAGUAGUAGCUGAUGUGAGUUGGAAAAUGGCCUUGGAUCUCAUCUUCAUUUAUUUUAUCAUUUAUCGCUUUUAGUUGAUUAAAUGCUUUGAAGUCUAAAAGUUUAUUUGCGAAAUUUAAUUUUGAAGUUGUUGCGAUAUGAGUUUAUGUUGCUUGUUGUCAAAUGUAUUUAUGAGUUUUUGGAUGGUUGUAAUAGUGACACCUUAAAUUGUUGAUUAAAUAUUUUUAUAUAAGUUUUGGGGUUCAAGCCAUUACACAGUGCUAUCAGAGUCUGGUCGGUCCAUACAGUCAGGUUUUUGUCAUGUUGUUUGUUCCCUAGUAUACGACAUGUGUAUGAAUAGUGUUUAUGCCCAUUUCUUCUAAUAGUUUUUUUUACUGAUGUGCAGAAAUAUGGUUGGAGGAAGAAACAACCAAGCUAUUGUUGAAGCUUUCGAAGCGAUGGCUCAGGCGCUGCAAGCCUAGCAAAAUCAGCAAGGUGCAAGUGAUGAAUUUCAUGGAUUGGGGAAGUUUCAAAGGAAGAAUUCGCCUACCUUUAAUGGCAUGUAUGAUCCAGAAAGUGCCUAGACAUGGCCCAGAUAGACUGGGAAGAUUUUUUUAGUGAUGGCUUCCACUCAGGACCAAAAGGUGUUGUUGGCACACAUAAGCUAUCGGAUGAGGCCGAAGACUGGUGGGGCAACGUGUGUCAGAGAACGGAAGAUGAAGGUAUUGAGGUUACCUGGGUUGUCUUCAUAACUAAUUUUCUAGAUAACUACUUUCCAGAGGACGUGCGCGGUAAGAAAGAGAUCGAGUUCCUUAAGCUGAAACAAGGGAAUUCGAUAGUUGUUAAGCAUGCUACUUAUCAUACCCCAAAAUUUGUCCUGCACUUUUGAUUUUGAUAUGGCUCAAGAUAUUUAAUUCAUAUGUAUAAUCAUGCCAUAUUCAUCUAUAUCACUCAUUCAUAUUAGCAUUUUCAAAACAAGCAUCAUGGAUUCUUAGGUAUCUUGUUAGUAAUGGUUGACGUGGAAUCAAACUAAUGGAGUUGUGGUGGUACAUCUAAGUGGAGAGCAUUAUCAUUGAGAUCUUGAUCAUGAAACCCUAAUCAUUGGUGCUUGAGAUCUUGGUUUAGGUGGAUUGUCAUCAUGGUUGAUUUUAGUAUUCAUUAUUUUUAUGUGUUGCAUUUUGGGUGUAAUCAGGAGGUACAAAGAUCAUCAGGGUCAACUAUAGAGGUUUACACUGCAUUCUUUGACAUUUUUUUAGGCUUUAUUCCAUACAUUCUAGGCCUAGUUAUUUGAAUGGGAUUUAAGGCAUCUUCAAAGUUUAUUCAAGAAGGGCAUUGCAAGUUCAUAUCCACAGUUAUGAUUCAAAGUCAAAAUUCAAGUUUGUUUUGCACAAGGUCAAUUCAAAACCAAGCUUGGAGGAAACUCAUUUACAAAUCAAGUUUCAAAUUCAUUACAAACUCGUCAGAAGUUUACAAAGUCGUUACAAAAAGUAAAAAAUCUAAAACAUACAAAGAAUGCAAUUUUGACCUAUAGUUGACUUUGGUCAACUAGUUGACUAAAGUCAGCUUUCUAAGUCUAACCCUAAGUCCCUCAUUUCUUCCCUCGAAGCCAUCUUAUCUUGGUCUUUAGGUUUCCUCAGUGGUUUAUCCAUGACUUGAUCAAGCCUUGCUUCCUUUCAUCAGGCAUAUUGACCCUACAAGAUUAAAAAGUCCAUAAGCACAUACUCAAAUCAAUAAUCACACCACAUAACAAUGUAGACAAUAACAUAACAUGGCAUCACAUGAUUCCUAGUUCUAACCAACUUUAGAUUCAGCUCUUCCUAAAUUCUAACAGAAUUUUAACUACAACAUUACCAUUUGUAACAAUUCCUACUAAUCUUUCAUAAAGCAUAACAACAUACAAGCAUUGUUUGGAUCACUUUCCUUUUAAUUAUGGACAUCCAUAAUCAAUCAAUCAUAUUGGUUCAUUUCCAUUCUAACAUAACCAUUCAAUGGAUGUAACACAAUAAACAAUCAACCAUUCCUAACACCACUAACAUGUCCUAACAUACAACCAUGUCCAUUUUAAUACAUAACAUGAUAAUUCAACAAUAAGUCCAUCAACCUCAUUUUUAACAGGCAUAUAACAAUUCACCAAGAUUCUAUACUUCAAACAAUUCAAGAUUAAUUCCAAAAUAGUAGCAAUCAAUGUUCAAGCAACUUUGGUAGUUCAAUAAAGAAUAGCCUAUUCACAAUUUUGUUCACUAACCUAAUACACUAGCAAUAGGAUUAAAGUCUUACACAUAAUUCAAUAGCUAGGGGUCCACAUACACAUAGCAGCUAGAAUUAAGGCAAUUCAUUACUAAUGCCCCUACAUUCCUAUUACUAACCUAACUCACAUUUUAACUUCAAACUCAACUUUCAAGUAAACAAAACUAACCAUAAAAACCUGUUGCAGUUUGGACCAAUUGCACCAUUCAUAAUUCAGUUUAGGUUCAUCUUGAUAGCGCUGCUAGAUGGCUUGCAAACCUCACUUCACCACUGCAAAUUGGAUAGCCAGCUGGAUAUUAAUUAGCUCAUCAAAUUCAAAGCAUCAUGCAGUCAUAACAAUCCAAUUAGCAUACCAAUUAACCAUAGGUUCAACACCAAAACCAAUUGACAUCAUACAAAACUUGCAGUUUGAGUCAGCAUACAUUUCAUCAUAGUUAUAGUGAAACAAUUAAAUUCACUAGUCUACAGCUUGCUGACCAUACUAACUGAACCUUAACAGGAUAUCUAACACUUGUAACUGUUUUCAUUCAAAACCAACCUUUGUUAAAUCAAUAGUCCAUUGAAAAGUCAAUUCAUCUGUGAUAAUUAACAUAAAAUAACUUCUCAUAGCACAACAAUCCUUAGAUAACUAGUUAGCACAUUGCAACUAGUAAUAAAUUCAUCCAUACUAAUGAUAAUAAUUUCAAAUUGUGGUUCAUAUCUGCAGCUUAAAGACACCAGCUAGAACUAACUAUUCCAACUAUGAAAAUCCAAUAUAACCAUUUGAACUAACUCAUGUUGAAUUCCAUUUCACACUAACAUAAUUUCAACAUCUUCUAACUAACAGAACUAACAUCUCAAUCCAACCUAAUAUAAUAUUCAAUAAUAUAAUAACUAACUCCAUCCAAUUUUUCAACUGACUGAAUUAACUACGUUAACUGUUUGUUAACUUUGUCAAAUCCAUAACUGAAUCUAACUGACGUAACAGUCCUCCCAAUCAACUAACUUCACUUCAAUCUAAACCAACUAACUUCACUUCAAUCUAAACCAACUAACUUUAACAUAGCCUUAACAAAUUGUUAACUCUAUUAAUCCUUUUAACUAACCUACAACCAGUUACUCAAUUCAUGUCUAUAAGUAAUCAUCAUCCCAAUCAUUGAAGAGGACCCAAUCAUUGACACACGAAUCAGAUAAGUUCUCAAAACUCUCUUUCACUCUCCCUCAAUUGUCUCUCAAUCUCUGAAAUUUUCCCUUUCACUUUCACCCUCACCUAAAGCUCGAUAGAACAACCAUUAAAGCUUCACCUUGAAGCUUCAAACGUGCGUGAGCUAAGCCUCUCAAUCUCUCUGCUCUAUCACAUUUUCUCUCAUGGAAGCAAAUCUCAGCAAUCUCACGCAUCAUAAACGUAGCAACCACAUAAGGAUUAGAAGAAGAUUCUAUUAAGGAGCUCAGAGUCAUAAUUCUUACCUUAUUUUGAAGCGCCUCUAGAUUUCUUAUCAUCCUCAUCUUCAAAUUUCUCAAUCUUGACCGGAGCAAUUCACCACUCUGAAGUUGGUGCACCUCUUUCAAACUCACUUGCUUUAUCAUAUUUCUUGUUACCAGAUGAUAGAAUUGAUGUAGAGGAACGUUAGCCCCAAGUUCUAAGGUUGAAACCAAUUGUAAUUCAUGUUUAAUUGGGGACCUGGAAUUUAGGGUUCAUAUGAGUUGAUUCUCUGAUUGGAAGUGUUAAGAAGGAAUUAAUAGAGGUUAACGUGAGAACGAAAGAAAGGGAACAAGGAUGAUUCCAUUGAUGCGAGGUUGAGGUCUAUUGAUAUGAGUUGAUUCUCUGAUUGGAAGUGUUAAGAAGGAAUUAAUAGAGGUUAACGUGAGAACGAAAGAAAGGGAACAAGGAUGAUUCCAUUGAUGCGAGGUUGAGGUCUAUUGAAGCUCAGCCGCCACUGGAGGCGAUUUCCAAUGCGGUGGAGGGAAGACUGAAAAUCAUUUUUUAGUUGGAAUAAGGGGAUGUGGAAGUGAG